UCUCUCUCUCUCUCUCUCUCUCUCUCACCCCCUCCCUCAUCCCUUCAUUUCUCCACUUACUGUAAAACAAGGCCUCUUUUUGUCCAGAGCCUCAUCAGACUCACAUGUUUCAGAAGAGAGGGAACGGAUAGGUGGAACAGAGGAAGAAAAGGAGUGAAGGAGAAGAAAGUGAUCUAAGAAAGCUCAGACUCUUGUGGACACUGAAGGCCAGGCUUUUGAGAUCUGAAGUCUAAAGAAAGCUGAGAGGAUUUUAGAUGCAAAUAAUAAUAAGAAGAAGGACGAGAUUCCAGAAGUGGACUUAGAGCUGGAGUUAUAGCUCUUGGAUUUAGAACAUCAGUGGACCAUGGAGAACGGCAAAGUGGAAGAGUAGACCAUGAACAAGGCAAUUAAAAGGUUUACAAGCCAAUGAAACAGUAGCUUAGCCCCGCCCAUUGCAGUGGAAAAAAGACAGCAACCUAGACAUUAGGGCAUGGCAGCACUAGAGCAAGCAAGGCAAAAUGCAGACGGACACAUGGAUGAUACAGACUUGCACAUGAUUCAGGUAGAGAAAUCUGUAGCUUCCUUUAGUGCCUCUUUUACUGCUCUCUCUCUCUCUCUAUCUCUAAUGGCUUUCACAUGAUCACAUCCUUGAUUUGUUAGUGUGUGUGUGUGUGUGUGUAGUGGGGACGGUCAUGUAGGCCACCAUUCAAGUAAAUUGAUUCACUUAUCUCCUCAUUUCUGAGGUCACUGAGGACACACACACACACACAUAUAAACACACACAUAAACACACUUAAAUCAUUGCUGUUCAAAUCACAGACAAUGAGUCUUAAUGGCGAGAGUGUGACUGAAUUGUAGCCACAUUUAGCUUGACCCUCUGCUACUAUAAUCACAUUAAAGUACACGUCCUGCACACACACACACACACACACACAAAAACACAUACACACGUGUGCUCCAGAGGAAGAAUCAGAACUUUGUUUAGUGGAGAAGCUGAUUUGUGAGAAGACAGUGACCUUCUGAAAAAUACUCCUUCUGUUCAGCAUCUGAGCAACCUUACACACACACACACACACUCUCACACACACACACACACACACACACACACACACAGACUGCUCAUGAGCUCAUGACUGCGGUAAAGCAUCAGGAGAUGUGUAAGACCUGAGAA
rnacentral:lncRNA from 1 species